CGAGCGCACCCUUGUCCUCAGUUACCAGCACGUCAUGGUGGGCACUCUGGGGAGACUGCCGGUGACAAACCGGAGGAAGGUGGGGACGACGUCAAGCCAUCAUGGCCCUUACGGCCAGGGCUACACACGUGCUACAAUGGUGCAUACAGACGGUUGCCAAGCCGCAAGGUGGAGCUAAUCUGAGAAAGUGCAUCGUAGUCCGGAUUGGGGUCUGCAACUCGACCCCAUGAAGUCGGAAUCGCUAGUAAUCGUGAAUCAGAAUGUCACGGUGAAUACGUUCCCGGGCCUU
rnacentral:rRNA from 1 species